GCAGUGUUUGCAGAUGGAGUCGAAUGUAACCCCCCGGGAAUGGAGCCGGGAGGGUCAGAGAACGCGGCUGCGCUCUGGAUCUCCGAAGGGGGGCGGGGGCCUGGAAGAGGUCCGGGCCCAGAAUGGACCUCCAGGUCCCUGCUGCCGCAAUCUGGCCCUGCCCUCCAGCCUACCCCUUACUCCCAGAGGAAGGGACCCAGGGAGACCCACCCAGAUGCCCUGAAAGGAGGUGGAGGAUGGGGGUGGGGCAAUACGCAGAGUUUGUCUGGUGAAUGCAGGAAAGGGGUGGGGGCUGGAGAGGAAAAGGAUGGAGCAGCCGUCAGCUUGUCAACUCCGCAUCUGCUGGCUGCCUCGGCCGGGCUCCAGCCUGCGCCCUCGCCCCUCGGAACAGCGGCACGCUGCAAUCCUGUACCCUGAAACCAGCUAGAUGAGCAUGUCCUAUAGAGGCCAAGGCUACCAUGGGCACCCUCUGGGCAUCGGGCCCUGUCUGCAAUACACCUGCAGGAAGAGCUCGAUCAGGUUCAGGUAAUAGGGCUGCUCCCGGCAAUAGAGCUUCAGCAGGCGGUAGAUACAUGCUUCCAGGAGGUUAGCAUCAUUGAUGGCAUCCAAACCCACGCCCGGCUGUCAUGACAGACAGAAAAACAAGCAAUCAAUCUCUAGUCUCGGUUCAUACUAAGAGCCAUCACCCCAACACCUCAACCAGGCCAUAUAUAACCACCUCCCUGUGGCCUGUCCCCAUACCCACUGCUAUUUUCCUGCCCACAUUACCUUCUGAUACCAGCAGAUCUGUCCCCGGCGGGUAAGGGAUGAAUCCAUGAUGUCAUCUGCCACCAGGAAGAAAGCUUGCAGCUAGAAAGAGUGGAAUAAGACCUGCAGGGCUCCUCAUUACUGUUCCUUCUAUCAGCAACAGAGCUGCUACUUUAUAUCUGUAUAUAGUUUUGCUUUUUUUUGGUAGGGGACAGAGUCUCACUAUUAUCCAGUGCAGUGGUGCAGUCACAGCUCACUGUAGCCUCUAACUCCCAGGCUCAAGUGAUCCUCCCACUUCAGCUUCCUGAGUUCCUGAGACCAUAGGCACAUACCCCAUGCCUGGCUAUUUUUUUUUUUUAAUUUAUUUUUUGUAGAGACAGGGUCCCACUAUGUUGCUCAGGCUGGUUUUGAACCCCUGGGUUCAAAUGAUCCUCCUGCCUCAGCCUCCCAAAUUACUGGGAUUACAGGCAUGAGGCAUCACAGCCGGCCAGAGCUGCUGCCUUUGACAGUCCCUAUGAGCUGGGAAAGUCAGGAUGGGGAGACAGAAGACUUCUGUGCUAUGGAGACUUGGAAAGUGACAUAACAUGUUUGGCUCAGACUCCCCGCCUAU
rnacentral:lncRNA from 1 species